UCCCGAUUGGCUCGGGCAGUCUUGUUUGAAAAAUACAACAAACAACAAGGGUUGCGCUCGUUGCGGGACUUAACCCAACAUCUCACGACACGAGCUGACGACGGCCAUGCAACACCUGUCACUAGAUUCCCGAAGGCACUCCAACAUUUCUGCCGGAUUCCUAGGAUGUCAAGCCUUGGUAAGGUUCUUCGCGUAGCAUCGAAUUAAACCACAUGCUCCACUGCUUGUGCGGGUCCCCGUCAAUUCCUUUGAGUUUUAGCCUUGCGGCCGUACUCCCCAGGCGGGAUGCUUAACGCGUUAGCUUCACAACACAGAGGGUCGAUACUCCAUACUAUUAGCAUCCAUCGUUUACGGCGUGGACUAC
rnacentral:misc_RNA from 1 species